UGAUAGAGGUGGGAAUCCUCUAGGCCGAAUAUCCAAGGUUUCCAGGGUAAAGCUGAUCUGCCCUGGGUGAGUCGGGACCUAAGGUGAGGGCGGGAGCCGUAGCCGAUGGACAACAGGUUGAUAUUCCUGUACUGCAGUAUGACAGAACUGUGGGGACACGUAAGGAGAGCGGGAGCCGGGAAUGGAAAGCCCGGUACAAGCGAGGUACCAGUACGGUAGGAAAAUCCGCCGUGCAAUGGGAAGACGUGAUGUGGAGCGAAAUUUAGUAGCGAAGCCCGUGAGCCAUGCGUCAAGAAAAGCCGCUAUUGUUUAUACUGUACCCGUACCGUAAACCGACACAGGUGGAUGAGGAGAGAAUCCUAAGGCCGGCGGAAGAAGUAUUGCCAAGGAACUCGGCAAAAUGGCCCCGUAACUUAGGGAGAAGGGGUGCCUGCGAGAGCAGGCCGCAGAGAAUAGGCUCAAGCAACUGUUUAGCAAAAACACAGGUCUAUGCGAAACCGAAAGGUGAGGUAUAUGGGCUGACGCCUGCCCGGUGCUGGAAGGUUAAGAGGAGAGGUUAGCGGUAACGCGAAGCUUUGAAUUUAAGCCCCAGUAAACGGCGGCCGUAACAAUAACGGUCCUAAGGUAGCGAAAUUCCUUGUCGGGUAAGUUCCGACCCGCACGAAAGGCGUAAUGAUUUGAGCGCUGUCUCGGCAAUACAUCCGGUGAAAUUGAAGUGCCAGUGAAGAUGCUGGCUACCCGCGCCAGGACGGAAAGACCCCAUGGAGCUUUACUCCAGUUUGGCACUGGGGUCCGGUGUUGCAUGUACAGGAUAGGUGGGAGGCUGAGAAACGGUAACGUCAGUUGCCGCGGAGCCGCUGUUGGGAUACCACCCUUGUGAUAUUGGGCUUCUAACCAGCCGCCGUGAACCGGCGGUGGGACAAUGCCAGGCGGGGAGUUUGACUGGGGCGGUCGCCUCCGAAAGGGUAUCGGAGGCGCCCAAAGGUUCCCUCAGAAUGGACGGAAACCAUUCGAAGAGUGCAAAGGCAGAAGGGAGCUUGACUGCGACACCGACGGGUGGAGCAGGUACGAAAGUAGGGCUUAGUGAUCCGGUGGUAUUAAGUGGGAAUGCCAUCGCUCAACGGAUAAAAGCUACCCUGGGAUAACAGGCUUAUCACUCCCAAGAGUUCACAUCGACGGAGUGGUUUGGCACCUCGAUGUCGGCUCAUCGCAUCCUGGGGCUGUAGUAGGUCCCAAGGGUUGGGCUGUUCGCCCAUUAAAGCGGUACGCGAGCUGGGUUCAGAACGUCGUGAGACAGUUCGGUCCCUAUCCGGCGUGGGCGUAGGAUAUCUGAGAGGAGCUGUCCUUAGUACGAGAGGACCGGGAUGGACGGACCGCUGGUGGACCGGUUGGCUUGCCAAAGCCAUGGCCGGGUAGCCAAGUCCGGAAGGGAUAAACGCUGAAGGCAUCUAAGCGUGAAGCCCCCCUCAAGAUGAGAUAUCCCAUUCUUUAGUGAAGUAAACCCCCUUGAAGACGACGAGGUAGAUAGGGCAGGGGUGGAAGUGUGGUAACACAUGGAGCUGACUGUUACUAAUCGGGUGAGGGCUUGACCA
rnacentral:rRNA from 1 species